GGCAGCGGAGCUCAGCUGGUAGAGCAUGCGCGUACAAAGCGUAGGCGGUGUCCAUGCGUGGGUUCGAACCCUCCGAGGCUA
rnacentral:tRNA from 1 species